rnacentral:rRNA from 1 species
GACGAACGCUGGCGGCGUGCUUAACACAUGCAAGUCGAACGGAAAGGCCCUGCUUUUGUGGGGUGCUCGAGUGGCGAACGGGUGAGUAACACGUGAGUAACCUGCCCUUGACUUUGGGAUAACUUCAGGAAACUGGGGCUAAUACCGGAUAGGAGCUCCUGCUGCAUGGUGGGCGUUGGAACGUUUCGGCGGUUGGGGAUGGACUGGCGGCUUAUCAGCUUGUUGGUGGGGUAGUGGCUUACCGAGGCUUUGGCGGGUAGCCGGCCUGGGAGGGUGACCGGCCACAAUAGGACUGAGAGAGGGCCCAGACGGGUACGGGGGGCAGCAGUGGGGAAUAUGGCACAAUGGGCGGAAGCGUGAGGAAGCAGCGUUGCGUGCGGGAAGACGGCCUUCGGGGCGUGAACCGCUGUAGCCUGUGACGAAGCGUGAGUGACGGUAAUGGGUAAAGAAGCACCGGCUAACUACGUG